AUGCAGGGGCCCCAGUUGGAAGGCAU
rnacentral:misc_RNA from 1 species